CAUGUAGGCGGAUUAAUAAGUUUGAAGUGAAAUCCUAUAGCUUAACUAUAGAACUGCUUUGAAAACUGUUAAUCUAGAAUGUGGGAGAGGUAGAUGGAAUUUCUGGUGUAGGGGUAAAAUCCGUAGAGAUCAGAAGGAAUACCGAUUGCGAAGGCGAUCUACUGGAACAUUAUUGACGCUGAGAUGCGAAAGCGUGGGGGAGCAAACA
rnacentral:rRNA from 1 species